rnacentral:rRNA from 1 species
GUGGGGAAUAUUGGACAAUGGGCGCAAGCCUGAUCCAGCCAUGCCGCGUGAGUGAUGAAGGCCUUCGGGUUGUAAAGCUCUUUAGCCGAUGAUUAUAAUGACUGUAGUCGGAAAAUAAGCCCCGGCUAACUUCGUGCCAGCAGCCGCGGUAAUACGAAGGGGGCGAGCGUUAUUCGGAAUCACUGAGCGUAAAGCGUGCGUAGGCGGCUUUGCAAGUUGGGAGUAAAAGCCCAGGGCUCAACCCUGGAAUUGCUCUCAAAACUGCAAGGCUCGAAUUCGGGAGAGGAUAGCGGAAUUGUCAGUGUAGCAGUGAAAUGCGUAGAUAUUGACAGGAACACCAGUGGCGUAAGCGGCUAUCUGGACCGAUAUUGACGCUGAGGCACGAAAGCGUGGGGAUCAAACAGGAUUAGAAACCCCGGUAGUCC